rnacentral:rRNA from 1 species
AUGGCGAGCCGCGUCCAACUCUCUGGCUCCACCUCCGUUUGUUCGUCUCCCUCGGCCGCUCCCGGCUCCGCUCGGCCUCCUCUGCCUCGGGCUUCGCCGCCCCCCCGGCUCCGUUCCAUGGUCGUGGUCCCUCCGCCGCCUCCCGCGCCGCCCGCGCCUGGCCCGGAGGAUGGGGGUGCGCCUUGGCAGCGGGUUCGUGGCCGGAAGGACCGCCGGCCGCCGGCCGUUCGCCCGCAAGGCGGUGGUUUUCUGCCGUCUCAGUCCCGGAGUUCGACCCUUCCGGUGGAGCUCCAUGGUUGCUGCUACAAUUGUGGCGAAGAUGACGGCCAUAUCUCCCGCAACUGCCCCAAUCCAACCAAGUGCGUCCAUUGUGGCGGAUUCAACCACAUCUCCCGCGGCUGCACGCGUCCCCGCCCUCGAAGCUCGUCGCCAGUGGAGGCCCGUCCGUCACCUGCGUUGCGCCCCCGCCCUCCUUCCCCGGCCGUGGCUGACCUUCAGUUCCCGCCGCUCCCCUCACGCAUCCCCUCGCCCCCGGCACGGCUCCCUCCGCCGCCGCCGGGGACCGUCCGCGUGGGUCUGCUGUGGAGCCAGGUUGUCCGUGCCGAGUCGUCUGGCAGUGUUGCGGGACCGGUGUUCUCUGUGUCGUUCGCCCCGGCGGCCUCUCUGGUGCCCCCGGUGGCUUCGCGGUACGUGGCGGACGACCAGAUGGACUGCUGCUUCUUGGAGGCUGGGCCCGACAUUCGCGUCCUGGAGGAGGAGCUCUCUCGCGCGGUCGUGGUCAUCGUCGUGGGAUCCCGGCAGGCGGCGGACCUCGCCGCGGCGGCUGCGGCAAUCGUGGAGAAAUUCGAGCUCAGGCCCCUGGACAUGUCUAUCAGGAGCUACUACCCGCAGGAUUUCCUUGUGCUCUGCCAUUCUGUGGAGCUUAGGAACCAGAUUCUUCGCCGGGGCCGGGCUGGCACGCCUCUGUUUGAUCUGCUUUUCUCACCCUGGUCUCGUCUCUCCGGUGCCACUGGCAUUUCCAUGCCGUUCUUCGUGUCGUUGAUCCUCCAUGGGGUCCCGGCCAACUCGUGA